rnacentral:rRNA from 1 species
UGGGGCAUAUUGCACAAUGGGCGCACGCCUGAUGCAGCCAUGCCGCGUGUAUGAAGAAGGCCUUCGGGUUGUAAAGUACUUUCAGUCGGGAGGAAGGUGUUAAGGUUAAUAACCUUGACAAUUGACGUUACCGACAGAAGAAGCACCGGCUAACUCCGUGCCAGCAGCCGCGGUAAUACGGAGGGUGCAAGCGUUAAUCGGAAUUACUGGGCGUAAAGCGCACGCAGGCGGUUGAUUGAGUCAGAUGUGAAAUCCCCGGGCUUAACCCGGGAAUUGCAUCUGAUACUGGUCAGCUAGAGUCUUGUAGAGGGGGGUAGAAUUCCAUGUGUAGCGGUGAAAUGCGUAGAGAUGUGGAGGAAUACCGGUGGCGAAGGCGGCCCCCUGGACAAAGACUGACGCUCAGGUGCGAAAGCGUGGGGAGCAAACA